rnacentral:rRNA from 1 species
AUUGAACGCUGGCGGCAGGCUUAACACAUGCAAGUCGAGCGAGCCGCGGACGGGUGUGUAAUGUCUGGGAAACUGCCUGAUGGAGGGGUAUAACUAAUAGACACGGUAUCUACUACCGCAUACUAUCAUAUGUGCCCAGAGGGGCUUAGCUAGGAGGUGGGGAAAUGGCUCACCGAGGCGACGACCCCUAGCUGGUCUGAGAGGAUGACAAGCAACACUGGAAUGGAGACACGGGCGAGAUUCCUACGGGAGGCAGCAGGGGGGAAUAUUGCACAAGGGGAGAAAGCCGGAUGCAGCCAUGCCGCGUGUGUGAAGAAGGCUUUCGGGUUGUAAAGCACUGUCAGAGAGGAGGCGUUACUCGAAGAAGAAGCACCGGCUAACUCCGGGCCAGCAGCGGCGGUAAUAC